CUUGGCACACUGAUCCUCUCUCUCUCAAGACUUGUCUAUAAAUAAGGAGAGCCACAUUGCAGUAAUUCAUCCUUCACUAAGACAGAGAAUCUUUCUUAGAGUGUGUUUCCCAACUGUACAUUGUCUCCAAUCCCUCUUGUUAACACAAAAAUGGGUUACUCCAAAGACUUUUCCUCUCCUUGCUCUUGUCUUUGCUGUUGUGCUUCUCACCUCUUCCAAUGCCUCUGAGGCAGCUCAAACCGAAGAAAAUGUCCAAACUGACGCUGUGGAGGAGGCCAAGCAUGGUGACCAUAAGCACAAGGAUGGACACAAGCAUGGACAUGGUCACCACGACCAUGGACAUGGACAUGGAGAUGGUCAUGGUCACCCAUGAGGACACAGUGCUGCUGGCGAGACAGAAACCGACCAAAAUUAGAUAAAUCCUUCGUUCUAUGAUGUCUGUCUGAUCAAUGUGUCUAAGUAAUAUGUAACUUAUCUAAGUUUAUAUUCCAAUAAAGUCGCAUUGCAGGUUGUGUAGCUUAUAAACUCCCAACCACAGUAGCAGGUUGUACUUUUUUUUUUUUUUUUCAAAGAAAUAAGAUUCUAAGCAGUUAAUAAAAUGGAAUGUUGAGUUCGUUGUGUUUGAUGGCAUGGCACUUUCUUGAUCUGUUUGAGAGUGAUGACAUCAACCAAGCUCUCCAGCUCUCCAGUCUCAGUCCGUAUGAGAGUUGUCUUGUAGGAAGCAAAACCAAAUUACUUGCAAUAUUGUAAUUUGAUGGAGAGACUCAUCAAAUUCCACAAUCUUCUCCUUCUGAUAUGUCAUUGUCAAUGCACCAUCUA